rnacentral:rRNA from 1 species
UACAGAGGUGGCAAGCGUUGUUCGGAAUUACUGGGCGUAAAGGGCGCGUAGGCGGUCUUGUAAGUCUUGUGUGAAAUCCCUCGGCUUAACUGAGGAACUGCACGGGAUACUGCGAGACUUGAGUUCGGGAGAGGGAAGCGGAAUUCCUGGUGUAGCGGUGAAAUGCGCAGAUAUCAGGAGGAACACCGGUGGCGAAGGCGGGUCUCUGGGCCGAUACUGACGCUGAGGAGCGAAAGCGUGGGGAGCGAACAGG